rnacentral:rRNA from 1 species
CUCGUAGGCGGUUUGUCGCGUCUGUCGUGAAAGUCCGGGGCUUAACUCCGGAUCUGCGGUGGGUACGGGCAGGCUAGAGUGCAGUAGGGGAGACUGGAAUUCCUGGUGUAGCGGUGAAAUGCGCAGAUAUCAGGAGGAACACCGAUGGCGAAGGCAGGUCUCUGGGCUGUAACUGACGCUGAGGUACGAAAGCAUGGGGAGCAAACAGGAUUAGAUACCCCGGUA